rnacentral:rRNA from 1 species
ACCUGUUUAUCCUGCAGGAGGUUGCUGCUAUCAGAAUCCGACUAAGACAUGCAAGUAUUUGCCGCAAGGCAAUGCAAACUGCUCAGUAACACGUCGAUAACGUGCCGUGAAACUCGGGAUAAUCUUGGGAAACUGAGGGUAAUACCGAAUAGGGAAUGAAUACUGGAAUGUUUCAUUCUAGAAAGCUUCGGCGUUUCACGACCGGUCGGCGGCCCAUCAGGUUGUUGGUGAGGUAAUGGCUCACCAAGCCUAAGACGGGUAGGGGCCUUGAAAGAGGGUGCCCCGAGAAGGACACUGAGAUACUGGUCCUAGCCCUAAGGGGUGCAGCAGUCGCGAAACCUUUACAAUGCACGAAAGUGUGAUAAGGGGAUUCUGAGUGCUCACGGACUUCCGUGGGCUUUUUACGAGGGUAAAUACCUCGUAGAAUAAGUGGUGGGCAAGACUGGUGCCAGCCGCCGCGGUAACCCCAGCGCCACAAGUGGGAACCAUUUUUAUUGGGUCUAAAGCAUCCGUAGCCGGUCGGGCAAAUGCCCUGUGAAAUCGUCCAGCUUAACUGGACGGCGUGCAAGGUAGACUACUCGACCAGGGACCAGGAGAGGCUAGCGGUAUUCCAGGGGGAGCGGUAAAAUGUUAUAAUCCCUGGAGGACCACCAAUGGCGAAGGCAGCUAGCUAGAAUGGAUCCGACGGUGAGGGAUGAAAGCCAGGGGAGCGAUCCGGAUUAGAUACCCGAGUAGUCCUGGCCGUAAACGCUGCAUGCCAGAUGUUGCACAAUCCCUGAGAUUGUGCAGUGUCGAAACGAAGGUGUUAAGCAUGCCACCUGGGAAGUACGGUCGCAAGGCCGAAACUUAAAGGAAUUGGCGGGGAGGCACACAAGGAGUGCGGCGUGCGGUUUAAUCGGAAUCAACGCCGGGAACCUCACCAGUGGCGACGGCAGGAUGAAGUUCAGUCUAAAGGGCUUAACUGACGAGCCGAGAGGUGUUGCAUGGCCGCCGUAAGCUCGUGCCGUGAGGUGUCCUGUUAAGUCAGGCAACGAGCGAGACCUGUAUCCAUCGUUGCUAACGUGCCCUUCGGGGUGAGCGUGCACACUAUGGAGACUGCCUUCGAAAGGAGGAGGAAGGCGCAGGCUACUGCAGGUCAGUACGACCCGAAUCUGCUGGGCUACACGCGCGCAACAAUGGCUAUGACAAUGGGAUGCGACACCGAAAGGUGAAGCCAACCCUUUAAACAUAGUCUUAGUUUGAAUUGAGGGCUGCAACUCGCCCUCAUGACACCGGAAUUCCUAGUAAUCAGGGGUUAGCAUCCUCCGGUGAAUAUGUCCCUGCCUCUUGCACACACCGCCCGUCAAAUCACCCGAGCAGGCUCCAGGUGAGCGCCAUUGAGUAAAUGCUGCGAACCUGAGGUCAGUGAGGGGGGUUAAGUCGGCACAAGGUA